CAGUAGCGUAUAUUAAAGUUGUUGCAGUUAAAAAGCUCGUAGUUGGAUUUCUGGUAGGAGCGACCGUGCCGAACUUGAUUGUUCGAGUAUUGUGUUGUCUUCAGCCAUCCUCGUGGAGAACUUUUCUAACAUUAACUUGUUGGGAUUGGGACCCGCGUCGUUUACUGUGAAAAAAUUAGAGUGUUUAAAGCAGGCAUUAGCUUGAAUACAUUAGCAUGGAAUAAUAAGAUAGGACUUUGGUACUAUUUUGUUGGUUUGCAUACCAAAUUAAUGAUCAACAGGAACAGUUUGAGGAUAUUCGUAUGAACAUGUCAGAGGUGAAAUUCUUGGAUUUUGAUCAGACGAACUACUGCGAAAGCAUUUAUCAAGGAUGUUUUCAUUAA
rnacentral:rRNA from 1 species